rnacentral:rRNA from 1 species
GACGAACCGUGCGAACGUUGUUCGGAAUCACUGGGCUUAAAGGGCGCGUAGGCGGGCAAGCAAGUCUGGGGUGAAAUCUUUCGGCUCAACCGGAAAAGAGCCUUGGAUACUGCUUGUCUCGAGGGAGGUAGGGGCAGAGGGAACUUCUGGUGGAGCGGUGAAAUGCGUUGAUAUCAGAAGGAACGCCGGUGGCGAAAGCGCUACUGCUGGAUCUCUUCUGACGCUGAGGCGCGAAAGCCAGGGGAGACAAAGCGGG